AAACACGAUCAACUUUGGUGUUUAUGCAUAGACGGAUUUUCAUAUUUAUUACUGGGGUGGUGCCAGAAAUUUUAGGGGGGUGAGCCGUGAGCAGGUGACUGAAGCAGCACAAAGUGUCACCAAACCCCAGUAAGGUCUAUAUAGAUUCUAGGGGUGGAGCACUAGAGCCGCGAGGGGGAGUCUAGAGAGCGGAAAACAAAGUAUCCCAGCAAAAAUUUGAAAAAAAUCAUGAUUUCUAGCUUCGAAAAAAGUUUUUUGAUGUGGUCAAUUUGUCAUAUCAAUGGAUUUGGCAUGUUCGAUUGUCUGUUGAGACUUGAGAGAGUUGAAAUGAACCUGUAAAAGUGUAAACCCAAUAGGCCAAUACACAAUAUGCUUUUACUUUUAUAAAGUCAUUGACAUUGUGUUGUUUGAAUCCGAGUACAAUUUAUGAUGCAACUCCGAUGUAAAUAAUAUUUG